GAUGAAGAACGUAGCGAAAUGCGAUAAGUAAUGUGAAUUGCAGAAUUCAGUGAAUCAUCGAAUCUUUGAACGCACCUUGCGCCCUUUGGCUAUUCCGAAGGGCAUGCCUGUUUGAGUAUCAUGAACACCUCAACUCUCAUGGCUUGCCAUGAUGAGCUUGGACUUUGGGGGUCUUGCCGGCCUAUGGGUCGGCUCCUCUCAAAUUAAUCAGCUUGCCAGUGUUUGGUGGCAUCACAGGUGUGAUAACUAUCUACGCUUGUGGUUUUCCAUCAGGUAACCUUCAGUGAUGGAGGUUCGCUGGGGCUCAUAAAUGUCUCUCCUCAGUGAGGACAGCUUUUUUGAACGUUUGAUCUCGAAUCAGGUAGGACUACCCGCUGAACUUAAGCAUAUCAAUAAGCGGAGGA
rnacentral:misc_RNA from 1 species